GGCGAUGAAGGUAAUGAUGCUAUGGAGGACGACCAGCUUCGAGAUGAAGACUAUGCGUUGAUGAUGAAUCAAGGUGGAUCAAGCGAUUGGCUCAAUUGCGUUCAUUAAAUGAAGGUGAUAUGUCAGCCGAUAUGCUUUCAUUCCAUGAAGCAGUUGCUGGAGUGCAGAGAGCCGAAGAGGAGUUGCUCGAUGACCAUCGUGCUCUGAAUGAACGUCUGCUCGAGUUCCAUGCACUCAGUGCUGAUCUGUAUG